CGGGAACGGAUCCGGGAUCAGAACGGGACACCGGGAACGGACGCCGGGAUCAGAACGGGACACCGGGAAUGGAUCCGGGAUCAGAACGGGACACCAGGAACGGAUCCGGGAUCGGGAGGCGCAGAUCGGAUCGGGACGCCGGGAAUGGACCGGGAUCGGCAACGCGCCGGGAUUGGGAACGGGAACGGGAGCGCGGCGGGAUCCCAGGAACGGGAUCGGAGCAGGAACGGGAACCGGGAUCGGGGAGAGCAGCGGGAAUUCGGGAAUGCGGGAUGGGAAAUUCAGGAAUGCAGAUCGGCCACAGAGAAAGGAACGGGAAAUUUGGGAAUGCGGGAUCGGCCCCGGGAUGGGAAAUUCGGGGAUGUGGGAUCAGCCCCAGAGAGAGGAAUGGGAAACUUGGGAGAGAGGAGCGGGAAAUGUGGGAAUUCCGGAGCUUUCCCGGGAUCGGGGAGAGCCCCGGACCCAGCGGGAUCAGGAGGGGAAUGGGGGUGGGAAACCCCAAAUCCAUCGGGAUUGGGACAGGAGAGAGGGAAAAGCCCAAAUCCAUCGGGAUGGGAAUGAGAAACCCCAAAUCCAUCGGGAUCAGGAGAGAGGGAAAACCCCAAAUCCUUCGGGAUGGGAAUGAGAAACCCCAAAUCCAUCGGGAUCAGGUUGGGAAUGAGAAAUCCCAAAUCCAUCGGGAUGGGAACAGGAGAGAGGGAAAAUCCCAAAUCCAUCGGGAUGGGAAUGAGGAAACCCCAAAUCCAUCGGGAUCAGGUUGGGAAUGAGGAAACCGCAAAUCCAUCGGGAUGGGAAUGGGGAAACCCCAAAUCCAUCAGGAUCGGGACGGGAACAGAGGGAAAAUCCCGGGAUCGGGGUCGGGAUCGGGGUCAGGGUCGGGAUCCGGAGCAGCUUGGGAAGAUCUCAAAUCCCUCGGAGCGCCGGGGCCGGGAGCCGCAGCCGCCUCCUUCCCCCCUUUUCCCCCAAAUCCCCCCGGAGCGAAAUUCCCGGGAUCGUUCCCGGGGUUGUUCCCAAAAUUCCGCCCCAAAAAUUCCCCCAGAAAGGGCAAAAACCCCAAAAUUCCCCCUCACCCCUUUAUUAUUUUUUUUUUUACAAAUUUUGGAGGUUUUGGAGCCACCCCAAAUUCUCUCUCCAAGAGCAGAAUUCCCAAAAUCCCAAAUUUCUGAGAGGAGAAAUCCCAGAAUUCCCAAAAUCCCCAAAUUUCUGAGGAGAAUUCCCAAAAAUCCCAAAAUUCCUGAAUUUCCAAGUGAAGAAUUCCCAUAAUUCUGAGAAUUCCACAAAUUCUCAAAAUUCCCAAAUUGCUGAGAGGAGAAUUCCCCGAAUCCCCACAUUUCCAAGUGGAAAAUUCCCAAAUUUCCCCAAAUCCCCAAAUUUCUGAGAGGAGAAUUCCUAAAAAUUCCCAAAUUUCCGGGAGGAGAAUGCCCAAAUUUCUGAGAGGAAAAUUCCCAAAAAUCCCAACAUUCCCAAAUUUCCGAGUGGAAAUUUCCCAAAAUCCCCAAAAAUCCCAAAUUUCUGAGAGGAGAAUUCCCAAAAUUCCCGGAAUUCCCGGAUUCCCGGCGGGUUUUGUACUGUAUUUAUUGUCCAUAGCGCGUUUUGUACGGAAUUCUGGAACUUUCCUAUUUCUGCUGUAAAUUAAAAUCCUUUUAAUUAACGAGCCGCGCUAAUUGGGGCCGGGCUGGGGCUUUGGGGAUUUUUGGGUUUCUGGGGGAUUUGGGAUUUGGGAUUUUGGGGAUUUUUGGAGUUUUUGGGGUUUGGGGUUUUGGGUUU
rnacentral:lncRNA from 1 species